UACGGAUGGUGCAAGCGUUACUCGGAAUUACUGGGCGUAAAGCGUCCGCAGGCGUUUUCCCAAGUCUGUUGUUAAAGUUCGGAGCUCAACUCCGUGAUGUAACGGAAACUAGGAAAAUAGAGUCAUACAGAGGCAACUGGAAUUACGUGUGUAGGGGUAAAAUCCGUUGAUCCACGUAGGAACGCCAAAAGUGAAAACAGGUUGCUGGGUAUGUACUGACGCUCAUGGACGAAAGCGUGGGGAGCGAAGGGG
rnacentral:misc_RNA from 1 species